CUUAAAUCGAUUCUAAGGGUGUUAUUUAUUCUAAUAUUUUAGUUAGCCAAUCUGGUUAUUCAUCCAGUUGAAAGGUUCCCCCUUUUACAGUGUUUUGAUCCAGUUCAAGUAUUUAUUUAUAUUAGUAAAGUUAUAUUAAAAAUUAAGCAGAAUCAGGUGCAUGUUCAUGACUUCAAUUCUAGUAAUGUAAAUAUAAAGGGCAAAUAUGCAAAUCAAUGAAGAAUAGAUUGGGUGCAGGAAAAUAUAUUCUAGCAGAUUUAAAGUGAAAUUCAUUUAGAAAAUGAAAGAACAUUUCUAUCCUCAGAUUCAUAUGACUCUAUAUUCUCUGCCAGUCUACCUUGGAAAAACAGACAAGUAUUAAGGGAGGACAUAUCUUCAAGCAAAAGUUUGUGCUUCUGCAAUAUGCAAGCCAAAAUUUCUCAAAAUUGUCUUAUUAUAUUUCCUGGAAGCAUCAAGGAAGAGGAGCAGAAGAAAGAGACAGAGUCUUGCUGUUUUGCCUAGGCUGGCCUGGAACUCCUGGGCUCAGGGAAUCCUCCUGUCUCAGCCGGGACUACACAUGUGUAAACUGGUGACUCUUAAAUCUCAUCACACCCUUGUCACUCCCCUAAAGUUAUGAUCAUUUAUUGGCAGAACUAGUUGGAUCCUGAUAAAGCUCACAUCCAAUCCACUCUCCACAAUGAAAGUCAGAGUCAUCAGUAAUUUGUUGAAUUAUUGUCAAGUAUAAAACUUCCAAAGCUUCCCACAGCCCAUGGGUUAAAUAAUUUACCUGACAAACAGUGUUUGAUCUAAUCUGAUCCCAUAUUAUCUCUGUGAAUUUACAUCUCAUUACUCUAGAAUUUUGCUUUCCAAAAUAUGGCAGCCACAAGUCACAAGUGGUUGUUUAACACUUGAAGAGUGGAGAGUCUAAACUGAGAUGGUGAUUUAAAUGUAAAACACACAACGGAUUCCUAGAAUCUAGUGCAAAAUUAUAAAAACAUCAGUAAUAAUUUUUCAUACUGAUUAUAUGCUGAGAUUAUAUGAUUUUAAAUAUAUUGGACUAAAUAAAAAUAUUAAAAUUUCA